rnacentral:rRNA from 1 species
UACGUAGGGGGCAAGCGUUAUCCGGAAUUACUGGGCGUAAAGCGCACGCAGGCGGUUCGCCAAGUUUGGUGUGACAGUUGUCGGCUCAACCGACAAAGGACUUCAAAAACUGGUGAACUUGAGGACGAGAGAGGAACAUGGAACUCCAGGUGUAGUAGUGAAAUGCGUAGAUAUCUGGAAGAACACCAAUGGCGAAGGCAAUGUUCUGGCUCGUUUCUGACGCUCAGGUGCGAAAGCCAGGGGAGCGAACGGG